GGGACUGUAGCUCAGGGGUUAGAGCAGUCGACUCAUAAUCGAUUGGUCGUAGGUUCGAAACCUACCAGUCCUACCA
rnacentral:tRNA from 1 species